AUGUCGGCGCCGUGCCUGCGCCUGCCCGCCGCCGGGUCAGCACCGGCGGAGGCGGACAGCGCCGGCGGCAUGGAGCCGCCCGGGGCCGCCGCCCUGGAGCUGGCCCUGGAGGAGGAGCUGGCGCUGCUGGCCGCCGCCGGGGAGCCGCCGGAGCCGCCGCCCGCCGCCGCCGCCCGCGACCCCGAGCUGCUCUCGCUGAUCCGGCAGAAGGAGAAGGACCUGGUGCUGGCGGCGCGGCUGGGCAAGGCGCUGCUGGAGCGCAACCAGGACAUGAGCCGGCAGUACGAGAGGAUGCACAAGGAGCUCACCGACAAGCUGGAGCACCUGGAACAAGAGAAACACGAACUGCGGCGGCGAUUUGAGAACAAGGAGGGAGAGUGGGAAGGAAGGGUGUCCGAGCUGGAGAGCGACGUGAAGCAGCUGCAGGACGAGCUGGAGAAGCAGCAGGUGCACCUGCGCGAAGCCGACCGGGAGAAGACGCGCGCCGUCCAGGAACUCUCCGAGCAGAACCAAAGACUCCUGGACCAGCUCAGCAGGGCAUCGGAGGUGGAGCGGCAGCUCUCCCUGCAGGUCCACACCCUCCGGGAGGACUUUCGGGAGAAGCAUUCCUCCAGCAGCCAGCACAUCGUGAGGCUGGAGAGCCUCCAGGCCGAGCAAGUCCUUGAAAUCAAAAUGCUGACGGACAGGAAGCGGGAGCUGGAGCAUCGCCUCAGUGCCAUGAUGGAGGAGAACGACCUGCUCCAGGGAACCGUGGAGGAGCUGCAGGACCGAGUCCUCAUCCUGGAGAGACAAAGCCAUGACAAGGACCUGCAGCUGCACCAAAGCCAGCUGGAACUUCAGGAGGUGAGGCUGUCCUACCGACAGCUGCAGGGCAAGGUGGAGGAGCUCAGUGAGGAGAAAAGUCUCCAAAACCUCAACACAACCAGCACAUCCCUGCUCUCUGAGAUAGAGCAGAGCAUGGAGGCAGAGGAGCUGGAGCAAGAACGAGAACAGCUGAGGCUGCAGCUCUGGGAGGCGUACUGCCAAGUGCGGUACCUCUGCUCCCACCUGCGGGGCAACGACAGCGCCGACUCGGCCGUGUCCACCGACUCCUCCAUGGACGAGUCCUCCGAAACCUCUUCAGCCAAAGACGUGCCAGCCGGGAGCCUGCGCGCAGCCCUCAGCGAGCUCAAGAGACUGAUUCAGAACGUGCUGGACGGGGCAGACUCCACGAGCUCUCGGCGAAGCGACGACGACACCUUAGAGGAGCAGAUCAGGAGAACAAGUGAGGAUUCACGAGCCCUGAGGGAAUUAAUGGAGGGAGAACGGGGGAAACUGAGGCAGAGUUUGGAGGAGCUGCAGCGACUGCACAGCCAGGUGACGCUGCUGAGUGUGGAGAUGACGACGCUGAAGGAGGAGCGGGACCGGCUGCGCGGCGCUGCCGAGGACAGGGAGGCGGGCGAGCGGCUCCUGCAGGCCAUCAGGGACCGCGACGAGGCCAUCGCCAAGAAGAACGCGGUGGAGGUGGAGCUGACCAAAUGCAAGAUUGACAUGAUGUCCCUCAACAGCCAACUCCUGGAUGCCAUCCAGCAGAAGGUGAACCUCUCGCAGCAGCUGGAGGCCUGGCAGUUUGCUUCCUCAGGGCUUUUUACUAUCUGGCUCCUUUGGUUUCUGAUCUAGUGGCCUUUCUCAGUUCCUGUACCAACAGCUUUAGUCGUACACCCCUCCUGCCUUUGAGGAUGACAUGCACAGGGUCAUUGACCAGCAGCUGAUGGACAAACACCCGAAGGAAUGGAGCCAGCUUGCUUAUUCCUUCUCCAGUGGCUCCGGCGCCAAGCGGAGUGCCAGGCCCUCCCCCGCGCUCAGGCCGGAGCAGCAGGGGGACGAGCCCGGCGGGGCCGAAGGAAACCGUCUCUUCUCCUUUUUCAAGAAAAAUUAAUUUGAAAAAGAGAAAACUCUCCAACAAUUCCUGCUUCAAGAUGGGGAGUGGGGCAGCUGCCCAGCUUGCUGAUGGACCCAAGUCUGAUUCACUGAGUAAAAAAGAAGGGGGCAAAGGAGUUAACCCUUAAGACUCUGCACUAUUUACACCGCACCUGGUCUGAACCAAAUGUUUACAUGAAUUGGAGAUUUGCAAAUUGACAAUGUGAUUCUAGUAGAAAGAAACUUUUCUUAUUCUAUAAGUGAAGUGAUAAACUUCAGGGUAUAUUUUAGGCGCUUUGUCACAGUCCAAUUUCUGCUGUGAAGAAUUCUCGGAUUGUCUUAAAAGCAUUCUUGUGCUGGAGAAGGAAAUAAGCAGCCCCAAGACAGAGCGGUGCAGGGGAUUGAGAACUUCUGUCACAGGGAGCACAGGGGGAAGAAGAGAGCUGAAUGCAAGAGGACAGAAGGGAGCCAUUUGUAUCACCCUGGCAGCUGUGACAUCCUUCAUCCAUCCCACUGAGACUGGAGUCACUCUGGCCCCAGCACUACCAUGUUUUGACAAAUGUAGCUUUCUCCAUGGUGGAAGUUGAGCCCUCACUACAGCUGCUGCCUGGGCACCAUCUCCCCUGGAGCUCUGUGUGGUUGCUCACCCUCGCUGGAAUCCAGGCUCCUUGCAGCUCAGGGCUGGGGACAGAUAGAUGGUGUCAUUGUCCUUCCAGCUUCCUCCUGUUACAGAGGUAAGAGUUGCAGGCUGUAGCUACAGAUUUCUCCCCAGGAGACUGAUCAUCUGCAGCAAAUUACAGACUGGAUAAAAGGUGUGCAUGUUCAGUCCUGGGGCACCUGCUCUUCCUCCAAUGGCCAAAAGUAAUUUGGGAGCUUCAGCAAGUCACACACCUUUCCCCAAAGCCAUACACAUCACCCAGAGUAAGAAAACUCAUUUUAACUGGAUAGCCUCCCAAAAGCCUGACUAGUAAUUCACUGAAAGCCUACUCCCCAUGAUGUCAGUCAGUCUUUGACACUGGGUUGGCAGACUCGAUCCUCAGAAAGCACACUGGCAUCUGCCUUCACUGAAGCCAAAGGCUAUCAAGGUCUCUACAGAGCUCUGGAAAGCCUGCAGGUUACUCUGCCCUAUGCAGUAACACUGGCUAUGGCCUGACAGAAAGGAUUAUUUGUCCCUGCCUGUGGGUCAGUUGCUACUCAGCCCUUUGAUGAGCAGGUAGCCAAAGGUGCUUUUGAUCAAAGAUGACAGAGCCUGCUUUGCACAACUUGAUCAACAAGAAGGAACAUGGCUUCGUGGCUUUUUGGUGUAUUCAGCACACAGCAGUGCUGGAAAUCAUGCAAUACUCAAGUAAGGACCUCUCCUCUGCACUGGAUGGGCACUUUACAGCUCUUUUAUCAGUCUACCAUCAUAAGCCAGUGAGGAACACCAGGCUCAGUUCAGAGAUGUCCUGCUGCUGUCAUGCAAUUUUCACACAUUCUGCCAGCUCAUGAUACCCAUGGGUAGGGCCCAGUUUGUUUCCUGCUUCUUUCAAAAGGCCACCACCUACACUGUCCCACAGCAGACAGAGCUGGUGCACCUUCAGCUCUGCCCUGCUCAGCAACUUCGGUGCUAACACACCAUCCCACAGGGAGCUGCUAUCUCUGCUCACAGCUCACAGGAACAAGCUUUCUGCUAGAAUAGGUACCAAACACCUUCUAAGCAGCAGGUAGGAGGCUGGUGGCUUGGGUUUUAGUGUUAUUCAAUUUCCCUGUGGGAUAGAACAUCCAUAAUACCUCAGUACAAAUAUCCUUUCUGCCUAUGAAGAUUUGAGCAUUCCUGUAUUUCCUUGUUACAUGAAACCACCACACUGGUAUGAAACCAUCUUGCACUAAGGCAGCUCUGGGUUGCAAGGAGCAGGGUGCUCUGAGAUUGGCAAUGAUAGUGAAGAGCUGAGUGGUAAAACCCAUCCACAUAAAAGCAACGAACCCUGGAUUGCAGAGCUUCCUUCACGAAAUACUUGGGCAAAGCCCCACCGAUACAGCUUGAUACUUUUGGGGAAAGACAUCAGGAGCCUCACAGGCAGAGAAGGAAACUGAACUUUGGCCUCUCCUUUCUAGGCAAUGCUCAGCUGUUGAGUAUCUGCUUGUAGCCACUUGUAGCCAGCACCUGCAAGCCAGGGGAAGGGUGCAGUGCAGUGCCACAUGCUCUCUGCUGUCCUCGUCCUCCCAGCCUGCUUCUACUGUGACUCUGCACAGGACAGGGACAUGAGGCACAUACUCAGCAUCUCCUGCUGCCAGGACUCAGUCACACCCACAUGCAUUACCCCAACCUUUGAUUCCUGCAAAAUGAGGUGUGGCAGCGUGGAUGCCAGUGACACCCAUGACACAGUGACACCUGUGACAGUGACACCUGUGAACACUGAGAACGAUGCUCUAUCACAGGAGAGCCAUGUGACCAUCUUGGUCUUCGGGGCCCUUUCUUCUGCUGUCAGUUGUCACUUCCCAGACCCCACCAACUCUCUUCAACCUACAUGCCCAGCAGUUGUGUGGGACUCUACCCCAGUGAGGAUGGAUGGAUGGAUGGAUGGAUGGAUGGAUGGAUGGAUGGAUGGAUGGAUGGAUGGAUGAUGGAUGGAUGGA